AUGAGCCCGCUUCCAAGUGCGAGAAAAAUCCAAUGUGAGGAAAUGGCCUUUGGCCGGCACUGCUCUUCUCCCCUACUUUCUCCCUCCGCUCUCUCCUUCAGAGCAGAAGAACCUCACAAUCCAUCCUGCUGACCUCUCACACGCUGCCCCGUGGCACACGGCAGACACUGCGGCUAACUCAACAGCAGGAUCAAUGCAGCCUGAGGUUAGCAAGAAAUGCAUUUCCACCUUUCUCCUUAAAUCACCAUGCUCCUCGUCACCCUCCCUGCUCCCAGUAGAAUCGUGUGAAAUAGUUCACCGUGAGUUAUUUACCAGAGAAAUCUCCCAGUCUCCUUAGGUUAUCCUUAAUUUGAGGUAAGAGCAUGGACAAUAAAUUGAAUGCAAGAUCUUGGAAGCAAUGCAGCAUCUGCUCAAGGGCUAUGCCCACAAUCGGGUGCUCUGGUCAAGGGCAUAGUUCUGCUCCAGAAAGGGGCAGUUCUCAGAAUCGCUUGCUGGGCUCGGGCACCGCGUAGACCGACAGACUCGCAUCUUGAGCAUGACUCAAGUAAUUUAAUUCUGGGAGCCUCUCUGAAGCUUCUCAAGUUUUGUUUUGUUUGAAGGCAGAAAUGGAUUGCAAAAUUCAGAGAACAGUAUUGAGAACGUCAAUUCUGGAUUCCAAAGGAUUCCGAUAGACAGAGCAAGGCAGUUUGGAUUGGAAUUUGCAAAGGAUGAAUUCCUUGAGCAUCCCAACCUUCAAAGAGUGCAGGCAUGGAAGAAAUUUGCAGCAGAAACUUUAGAAUCGGGAUGCUGGAAAAUGUUUUAAUGUUUGCCUGAUUUUCCUCUGCAGACCACCUGGAGAGCUUUUAUGUGCAAAAUGGCGUUUGGUUUUUUUCCUAAAUAAAUACAUGCAUUUAUAAAUAGG